UAUUUAGUGGUUUAAUAUUUAAUAUGGUGACUAGAAAAAUCUUAAAUAAUGUAUAUGCCUCUCAUAUAUAGUCACCCAAUAGCACUGUUUAGUUUAUAAUUUAGUGUGGUAGGAAUUAUUCUUCUGUGAUUAACAUAUCCUUUAAGACCUUGCCUCAGGUGUAACCCCUGUCCAGCAGGACUUGACUUUAUGAGAAACUGCAGAAUCACCAGUUCCAUCUGGCCCAGACCUUCCAAGUCAGAUCAUGCAUUUUAAGUAGAUCCCAGGCGACCUGUGUGCACAUGAACGUUUGAGGCUCUGAUCAGGUCACAGUGACAGGACUUUCCUUAUCUAUCUUAUUUUUGCUUCUCUAAUUCCGCUGGAUCAGGGGGCCUUAACCUGAGGGGCCUGGAUCCUUCUGGGGGUGCGAAGUCUACAGGUGGGCCCCAGGAACCUGUCAAACACUUACACUUUAUGCAUGUCUAUGUGUUUCUUAAGAAAGGGUCUGUUGUUUUUCCUUUGAAAGGAUGGCCUCACAGCAACACUUGGGAACUUGUUAGCAAUGAAAAGUCCUGGGGGUGGGAUGCAGCAGGGUCCUCACAAGCUCUCCGGAGGUCCUGACGUCGGACGUGUGCGGGCCACUGGCUCAGGGGUGAAGGCAGAGAAGAAGUCGCUAUUGCGCUGUGGCCUGGUCAGGAGGGUGACACUGGCCUGAAUCAAGACCAGAGGAAAAAAUUUAUCAUAUGAAAUCAUCAUCAAUUUAUCGUCACUUCUUUGGAGUAGAUUCAUUAACAAAUAUCCUAAACCGCUUCUCGCCGAGUAUGUGUCUGGACCACGCACAAAUUCACACCUGGCUUUAAAAUAUGCAGGGAUUAUAUAAUUUUAAAAGGCUGAGCUUAGUCAUAGUUUCUUUCAGUUUUUAAAUGCUGGCCUAAUUGAUUUAUUGGAUAAAGACUUUAUUUUUUAAUAAUGCUAUGAGAAAAUACCAGAGUUGGAGGAAACGCGGCCAAGUGCCCUCCCCUUUAGCCAGACGAGGUCCGUGCUGCUUCGCUGAUAAGGAGACCCCUCCCCCCACGCGCGUUACUCUGGUGAUGCGACAGCGCUGCGCCCAGCUUGGCUGCUACUGUUCGACCAAUGGCAACGCGCUCCGAAAGCACCUGUCAGGAGCGCUGCCUUGACCACAGCUGUGAAAACACUUCCUGGUCAACUGCCACCUGGACGUGUCAAGGCGGCCGACUCACUUCUUUUUUGGGCUCCACACUCUGAUUACGCCGUCCUUUCUUUGCUCUCGGUUCUUGAGUGACCUUCAGCUGUGGGCAUGACAAAGGUGACAGCACGUUACUCCAGAGCCUAUGAAACACUGCUUCGCCCCCGGGUGAGGAGCGAGCGCUGUGCCCUCUGCAUUAGCUCCUUCAAGACCACGUGCUUGGCCUUCACGGGAUGAGUCCUCAGGCCGAGGGCUCGGGAGAGCUCACGAGCCAGCAGGGCCGGGGUCAGGGUCGGGGGAGGCUCGUCUGUUUACUGGAGCUGGUUUGGUCUCUUUCGCAGAGCACUUCACAAAUGUUACGUGAAAGGAAGAAUAAAGCAAGGCGCGUGAGCUGACGUGGGCUCCUGCAGGACAGCGCCUGACAGGUGGUUUGCAGGGCACCACUCACCUGCUCGUUACUGGUGGAGGAGAUACUGGACUCCGCCUCCUCCUCCCCUCGGUCCUCGUUCUUGGACUUCCAGAACCUCCCUUCACGGAGGAAACGCUGGUGCAGCUCCAGCUCGUCACAAGCCUUCUUCCAGCCCAUGCUGCGCUUCACGUGCAGCCGGUGAACGUUGACCGUGAUGUCCUGUAUGUUUUCAGAAGGAAUCCAGGCCCUGUGAGCAGCGUUGAAAGGGGUAGUUAGAAACUUCCAAAAUGGCAGAAACCCUACCUAUUGUAAAGUACAACUUGUGGUCUGAAUAAAAACUUACCAAGUA